UACAGAGGGUGCAAGCGUUGUUCGGAAUUAUUGGGCGUAAAGCGCGUGUAGGCGGCUUGUUAAGUCGGGUGUGAAAGCCCUCAGCUCAACUGAGGAAGGGCGCCCGAAACUGGCGAGCUUGAGUGUCGGAGAGGAUGGCGGAAUACCCCAAGUAGAGGUGAAAUUCGUAGAUAUGGGGUGGAACACCGGUGGCGAAGGCGGCCAUCUGGACGACAACUGACGCUGAGACGCGAAAGCGUGGGGAGCGAACAGG
rnacentral:rRNA from 1 species